AUUGAACGCUGGCGGCAUGCUUUACACAUGCAAGUCGAACGGUAACAGGCCGCAAGGUGCUGACGAGUGGCGAACGGGUGAGUAAUGCAUCGGAACGUGCCCAGUCGUGGGGGAUAACGCAGCGAAAGCUGCGCUAAUACCGCAUACGAUCUCUGGAUGAAAGCGGGGGACCGAAAGGCCUCGCGCGAUUGGAGCGGCCGAUGUCAGAUUAGGUAGUUGGUGGGGUAAAGGCCCACCAAGCCAACGAUCUGUAGCUGGUCGGAGAGGACGACCAGCCACACGGGGACUGAGACACGGCCCAGACUCAGACGGGAGGCAGCAGUGGGGAAUUUUGGACAAUGGGCGCAAGCCUGCUCCAGCAAUGCCGCGUGCAGGAAGAAGGCCUUCGUGUUGUAAACUGCUUUUGUACGGAACGAAACGGUCCGGGUUAAUACCCUGGGCUAAUGACGGUACCGUAAGAAUAAGCACCGGCUAACUACGUGCCAGCCGCCGCAGUAA
rnacentral:rRNA from 1 species